GUCAAUCGUAACUCGUCGUUCAGUGAUCCGAGAGGUGGAGGGCUAUUGGUUGAGAGCGCCCGUCAGACCGGAUUGGAGUGAACCAUGAUUGGUCAGCACCGACACGAUCAGCAACCACAGUCUUCCUGGAGAGAUGAUGCUUGCUUGAACUGGAGGAAUUGAUGAAUGACAUUUGGAGGAGAAGAGAGCAUAGUACCCUUCUAGAACAGCAUGAACUGAACCAAAGCACAGAGCUUCCAUCUCCAACCAUUUCUCGCACCUGUCUGCCGUCUCCUGAAUGCCAGUGUGACUAAUGAGUGCCAGAGGCAGCAGAUG